AGCUUGGAGAAGAUAUAGCGAAGACGCUUAGGGAAAGAGCUGUUGACCAGGAUGUUACUUCUGUUUUAAUGCUGUCAAGGCCUAUGUCACCACUUAGUGGGAAAACCGCAAUUAAGUCUGCUCACUGAUCACCAUCAAGGAAUAUUGAAGACGCAACCCACAUGAAAGAGUGAUGAUGAAGGAUGAUGUAAAAAGAGAUGGGGAAGAAGUGCCUUUCUUAUCACUUCUGUUAUGUAUAUUUUGCUGUACAGUAAGUAAUACGUAGAAAGUAGUAGGCAGAAGAAGUCAGACGAAAUCUCCUCCUCCACCGUGUACAUAUAGAAAAAGAAAA